GGUCAGGAUGAACGCUAGCGACAGGCUUAACACAUGCAAGUCGAGGGGCAGCACGGGAGUAGCAAUACUUGGUGGCGACCGGCGCACGGGUGAGUAACGCGUAUGCAACCUACCUAUCAGAGGGGAAUAACCCGGCGAAAGUCGGACUAAUACCGCAUAAAACAGGGGCACCGCAUGGUGAUAUUUGUUAAAGAAAUUCGCUGAUAGAUGGGCAUGCGUUCCAUUAGGUAGUUGGUGAGGUAACGGCUCACCAAGCCGACGAUGGAUAGGGGAACUGAGAGGUUGGUCCCCCACACUGGUACUGAGACACGGACCAGACUCCUACGGGAGGCAGCAGUGAGGAAUAUUGGUCAAUGGGCGGGAGCCUGAACCAGCCAAGUCGCGUGAAGGAAAAGAAGGAUCUAUGGUUCGUAAACUUCUUUUGCAGGGGAAUAAAGUGCAGGACGUGUCCUGUUUUGUAUGUACCCUGAGAAUAAGGAUCGGCUAACUCCGUGCCAGCAGCAGC
rnacentral:rRNA from 1 species